rnacentral:rRNA from 1 species
GACGAACGCUGGCGGCGUGCUUAACACAUGCAAGUCGAACGGAAAGGCCCUGCUUUUGUGGGGUGCUCGAGUUGCGAACGGGUGAUUAACCCUUGAGUAACCUGCCCUUUACUUUGGGAUAACUUCAUGAAACUUUGGCUAAUACCGGAUAGGAGCUCCUGCUGCAUGGUGGGGGUUGGAAAGUUUCGGCGGUUGGGGAUGGACUCGCGGCUUAUCAGCUUGUUGGUGGGGUAGUGGAUUACCAAGGCUUUGACGGGUAGCCGGCCUGAGAGGGUGACCGGACAAAUUGGGACUGAGAUACGGCCCAGACUCAUACGGGAGGCAGAAGUGGGGAAGAGUGCACAAGGGGAGGAAGCCUGAUGCAGCAAAGCCGCGUGCGGGAUGACGGCAUUCGGGUUGUAAACCGCUGUCGCCUGUGACGAAGCGUGAGUGACGGUAAUGGGUAAAGAAGCACCGGCUAACUACGUG